rnacentral:Y_RNA from 1 species
GGCUGGUCUUAUGGUAGUGUGUUAUCAGAACUUAGUAACAUUAGUGUCACUAAAGUUGGUAUACAACCCUCUACUGCUAAAUUUGACCGGCUUAAA